rnacentral:lncRNA from 1 species
AUUAUGUAAUCAAGACAGACGAGGGGGGGGGGGGGUAAACGAAGCAGGAGAGGUAGUUCCCCGCGACUACGGAAGGAGGAAUUCCCGCCCCACCUCCUCUUCCCCGUCCACGUCUGGGGGGUAUAUAAGGCGGGUCAGAAGCAGGAAAGGCAUAUUGUCCUUUUCAGAGGCACGGAAGCGACUCUUUCUCUCGCCCCCAAGAUGAAGCUGAUUUCGAUGUUGAUGGCCCUCGUUGUGGCCCUCUCUGGCCUCCUGGGUUCAGCUCGUGCCAUGCCUGACCCCUUCCCUGUUGCUGACCCCGUGGCUGACCCCGCGGCUGACCCCUGGUUCUUUAGACGCAGGCACUACUACCCUCACCACCACCACUACCCCCACCACCAUCACUACCACCACUGGUGAAAACGGGGAUUCCGAAAAUGUAGCGCAGUAUACUUGGUUCCGUUGAACUUACGCAUCCAUAUAUGAUUUAUGUAUUUCGACCAUCUUGCCUUGAAAAUAAAACCCUGAAAUAGG